GCCGGGCUGCCGGGCAGGGAGCAGAGCUGUGGGUUGAGAGCCCGGGCGGUGCUGCCGCGCCCGCCGCAGGCAAAUCCGCGGACGGGCCUUCAAGACCCCAGGGCUGGCCGGAGUAGGGACCUGGGACGGGUCAUUUCACCUCCCUGAGGCCUCCGUGUAUUUGGCUAUGAAAAAUAAAAGUUGUGUGGAGGGGCUCGAAGGUCCAUUUCAGCGGGAAUUGUGUGCUGAGGCAGGUUGUCAGGCCCCCGAAGGCUGUCCCCGAGCUGGGAGGAGUCCGCUGCCCGAGCCCGGCGCCCUCUCCCCCCAACCUGCUGGUCCACGCUCGCACCUGGCCUUGGCACACCCCUUUGUUUUCGCACGUGGUUUUCCUGCCGCUGGAGGCAAGCCAGGUCCCGCCUCUUCUUUCGUCCACCUGGUCUCCUUGGAGCCUGCCCCAGCGCCGCCUCCCUGCGCGCGGACGCCGCUCCGGCACACCCGUUCCACGUGUCCACAUCAGUCCCUCAUCCCAGUGCUGCUGACCGUGGGUCUCGGCCCUGGGAGGUGAGAGCGGGAGAUCGGCCUCUGUCCUUCCCACAGUCGAUGCCCUUGAAGAAGUAGCUGCCGCAGCGCUGCAAGGACAACAGGAGCUGAGCAGCCAGACUCCUUCAGCCAUUACCGCCAACAGCCUCUGCGACCCACAGGAGCCUGCAGAGGCCCCAUCGUGUGCAGCCGAGGACUUGGGAGGGGCUCCACAGCCACAGAGAAGCCACAUGGCAGAGUGCAGAAGCAUGGAUGCUGGCAUGAGGCCGGGUCCUGUUUCAUGCCCUCCCAUGACCUGGAGGACCGGGAGCAGCCCGAGAGCAAGUCACUGCAAGCAUUCUGGCGGGAAAACAAGGCAAGGAUAGGAAAAGGAAAUGCCGCUUAAAUCAUUGUAGUAGAAAGAAAUAUUAUCAUCUGAUCUUCAUUGUCCCCAAGUAGUACGAAGUGAAAAUCUUGUGGCCUUACUUUAGAUCAUCUAUGGAAGUACAAUGUCAAGUAUAAGGUCCCCAGUAAAUACAGUGCUGUGUUAAUGACAUUAAAAGUUUAAAAUGGGGACGCCUGGGUGGCUCAGUUGGUUAAGCAGCUGCCUU